rnacentral:rRNA from 1 species
UACAGAGGUGGCGAGCGUUGUUCGGAUUUACUGGGCGUAAAGGGUGCGUAGGUGGUUCUGCAUGUCGGACGUGAAAGCCCACUGCUCAACGGUGGAACGGCGUUCGAAACUGCGGGACUGGAGUUCAGGAGAGGAGAGCGGAAUUCUUGGUGUAGCGGUGGAAUGCGUUGAUAUCAAGAAGAACACCGGUGGCGUAGGCGGCUCUCUGGAAUGAAACUGACACUGAGGCACGAAAGCGUGGGGAG